ACACCUCAACUCGUCGUGGUGUGCCACGAUGAGCUUGGACUCUGGGGGUCUUGCUGGCCUACGGUCGGCUCCUCUCAAAUGAAUCAGCUUGCCAGUGUUUGGUGGCAUCGCAGGUGUGAUAACUAUCUACGCUUGUGGUUUUCCACCAGGUAACUUUCAGCAAUGGAGGUUCGCUGGAGCUCACAAAUGUCUCUCCUUGGUGAGGACAGCUUCUGAAU
rnacentral:misc_RNA from 1 species